GGACGAACGCUGGCGGCGUGCCUAAUACAUGCAAGUCGAGCGGACCAAUAGAAAAGCUUGCUUUUCUUGAGGUUAGCGGCGGACGGGUGAGUAACACGUGGGCAACCUACCUGUAAGACUGGGAUAACUUACGGAAACGUGAGCUAAUACCGGAUAGUUUCACUUCUCGCAUGAGAAGUGAAGGAAAGAUGGCUUUUAGCUAUCACUUACAGAUGGGCCCGCGGCGCAUUAGCUAGUUGGUGGGGUAAAGGCCUACCAAGGCAACGAUGCGUAGCCGACCUGAGAGGGUGAUCGGCCACACUGGGACUGAGACACGGCCCAGACUCCUACGGGAGGCAGCAGUAGGGAAUCUUCCGCAAUGGACGAAAGUCUGACGGAGCAACGCCGCGUGAGCGAAGAAGGUCUUCGGAUCGUAAAGCUCUGUUGUUAGGGAAGAACAAGUACCGGAGUAACUGUCGGUACCUUGACGGUACCUAACCAGAAAGCCACGGCUACUACGUGCCAGCA
rnacentral:rRNA from 1 species